AUAUGUUGUUUAAUUUAGUAUUGCAUAUAUUUGUUGGCAUGAAAUUGCCAUAUCCAUAUUGUUGAAUGUUUGCAAGCGCUUAGAGCUGCAGAAGGAUUGGAAGCUAUUGCAACCAUAAAAGCAAUCAACACUAGCUGGCUGCAUCCAACAAUUAACCAAUAACUUGGAAUCUGAUGUCACAGUCGACAUUGUUCCAAACGUGAAGAGCAUGAAGUCUAUGUUGGUAUCUCCAACUCAUUUGGCUAUGGUUGGCAUAAUGUGGUGGUUGUUUUCGCUCCAUUCAAGCCUUAGAUGAAGGUAAAUCGAAGUAACCUCUCUCUUCACCUUUUUCCUUUUGAAAAAAUUUGGUUUUGGUAUCAUUUUGAUUGUCUAAAGCAUAACUACAAAAUAUUCGAGUAUAUCACGGUUUUGUCAUUUUAUGAUAUUUGAGUGAUGGUUGUUGAAAUUAAACCGCUCAACGUACUUGAAAAAUAUACAGCUGGUGAUAUGAACAAAAAUAACAUAUGUAUAUUAACUUCCUGA